rnacentral:rRNA from 1 species
GAUGAACGCUGGCGGCGUGCCUAAUACAUGCAAGUCGAGCGAACAGACGAGGAGCUUGCUCCUCUGACGUUAGCGGCGGACGGGUGAGUAACACGUGGAUAACCUACCUAUAAGACUGGGAUAACUUCGGGAAACCGGAGCUAAUACCGGAUAAUAUAUUGAACCGCAUGGUUCAAUAGUGAAAGACGGUUUUGCUGUCCCUUAUAGAUGGAUCCGCGCCGCAUUAGCUAGUUGGUAAGGUAACGGCUUACCAAGGCAACGAUGCGUAGCCGACCUGAGAGGGUGAUCGGCCACAGUGGAACUGAGACACGGUCCAGACUCCUACGGGAGGCAGCAGUAGGGAAUCUUCCGAAAUGGGCGAAAGCCUGACGGAGCAACGCCGCGUGAGUGAAGAAGGUCUUCGGAUCGUAAAACUCUGUUAUUAGGGAAGAACAAAUGUGUAAGUAACUAUGCACGUCUUGAGGGUACCUAAUCAGAAAGCCACGGCUAACUACGU